rnacentral:rRNA from 1 species
CCUACGGGAGGCAGCAGUGAGGAAUAUUGGUCAAUGGACGCAAGUCUGAACCAGCCAUGCCGCGUGCAGGAAGACGGCUCUAUGAGUUGUAAACUGCUUUUGUACGAGAGUAAACGCAGAUACGCGUAUCUGUCUGACAGUAUCGUACGAAUAAGGAUCGGCUAACUCCGUGCCAGCAGCCGCGGUAAUACGGAGGAUUCAAGCGUUAUCCGGAUUUAUUGGGUUGAAAGGGUGCGUAGGCGGUCGGAUAAGUUAGAGGUGAAAUCCCGAGGCUCAACUUCGGAAUUGCCUCUGAUACUGUGCGGCUAGAGAGUAGUUGCGGUAGGCGGAAUGUAUGGUGUAGCGGUGAAAUGCUUAGAGAUCAUACAGAACACCGAUUGCGAAGGCAGCUUACCAAGCUACUUCUGACGUUGAGGCACGAAAGCGUGGGGAGCAAACAGGAUUAGAUACCCUAGUAGUC